AGCACAUAUUUUUAUUGCAAUACAUUUAUGAUAUGAUUGAAGAUGAUUAAAACUUGUAUAAAACAUUGUCAGUUGACUGAAAGUUUAUCUGUUAAUAUUCAAAGUUCAAUUAGUACUUAUUGUGUUCUUUAAGUGCAAUAAUUUCUACUCAUGUUCUGUUGAAGAAAACAAUGUAGAUUUGCUGUCUGCAAAAGUAGAACUGGCCAUGUAUAUAAAAAUCGUUACUAUAUAUACCCUUUCAUAAAAAUUUCAAAAUAAUUCAAAUAUAUUAUCAGUGUGUAUGAAUGUGACAAAUUUAAAUCUGAAUGUAGUCUUGUUAACAGUAUUAUCUUUUAAUGGCAUAUUAAAUGAGUGAUGUUUUAUUCACACAAAGUAAAAUAGAUUAAUAACAAAAGUUAAUCCAAUACACUACAUGAACAUUUCAAUAAAAAAAAAAACGCAGAAUGAAUAAAAUAAAAAUUGACGGAUUCAGUUGAAUAUAUUAUGGUAAAUUUAAUUUAACCCCAAAUGGAAUAUAAAGUGUUCACAUAUAGUAAUAUCUCCAUAGUUGUGAAUGAACGCUUAAAAGUAUAUGCAUCUUUUUUGGUUUAAUUAAGUAGUAAUAUAAACAUUUGUAUAUGAGAAUAUCAGAUUUUUCCUGUCAAUGACGUUAUUGUUAUUUUUAUCAGUAUAGAACAUUGUUUGUGCCAAAUUUGACAUUGUUAAUUUUAAUAUUGUUUUUUAUGUCCAUACAUAUAUAAUGGUAUAUAACUUUACAUUUCCACAACAGUUAGGAAAAAAAGACACUUUUUGUAUUAUAACACUUAUAGUUACUGGAAGUUAACCAAAUUACUGUGAAGUUUUAACAUAUUAGGGGGUAUUUUUAAAAGAUCUGGUUUUGUUCCAAGAAAAUGAAGAUGUUGAGAACUUUUCAAAUUUGGAUAUAAUGUACUGAAUUGCAUUAGUUCAAGAAAUAUAAAUUAACUACACAAGAUUUUUUAUGUUAUGGCGUUUAUAAUUAUGUACUGUCAAAUAUUUGCAUUUGUAAGAGGAAACUAAACUCCUAUAACUGUGUAACCUAUCCUCCUUUACCCAGAAAUAAAAUCAAUACUUCAUCAAUGUAGUAAAAUCUGUAAUAAAAAUUCACUUGUAGGUGUAUGGACAAAAGGAAGGAAAUUCAUACUGAUACAAGGAUAACAGUUCUUUUUUCCAAGAAUAUAUUUCCUGAAUAUUUUACUUUAUUUUGUUCUUUUACAUGACAUUUUCAUAACUGCUCAAUUUUGUUGAUUGUUUGUUUAUACUUUUGUUGUAUUUUAUAAACAGAUUAUUUAGAUUUUCAUAUUCUAGUUAUAAUUGUUCAGUUUUGUUAAACCAUAAUGCCUGUAAGCAAACAAUUUAAAAAUCCCAUAAUUUAAUCUGCCUGGCUUUAAAAUGUGCACAUCCACACAGAUGCAAUAUUUUUACAUCUUUUUAAGAAGAUAAUUGAUCAAUAAAUCCCUAGAAAUGUUUUUGCUUAUUAUUUUAAAGAAAUGAGGUUGUAUGACGUAAAAUAACAAUAAGACCCUAUGAUACAGUUUCUUGAAAUCUAGGUAUCUUUGUUUUCUAUACUACAAUUUGUUGGAUUUGUUUACAGGACACACAUGAAUGACAAUGUAUACCUUCCUGGUUGAUUUAAAAUCAAAAUUUGUUUAUUUUGAUCUCCUUAGUUCUUAGAACAUUUAAAAUAAAAAUGUAGAUACCAA
rnacentral:lncRNA from 1 species